AAUGGAAGAAUUGCAUAGCCUGGACCCACGACGGCAGGAAUUAUUAGAGGCCAGGUUUACUGGAGUAGGUGUUAGUAAGGAAAACUAGAAAAGAGGAGGAAAAAACAGUAAAUAUGCAAGAAGAAAUAAAUACAUUGCAAAACAGAAGAAUGGGAAAUAAUCAAGAGUUGGAAAAUUAGGAAACAAAAGGCAAAAUGAAGGAGAGUACAUCAGAUAUAACAAAAGG
rnacentral:lncRNA from 1 species